GAAAAUGAUGAGAUAAUUUGGAAUCUCGUUCGUCUGAACUGCUGUUGAGAAAUCAAAUAUCUGACAUCG
ensembl:snoRNA SNORD30 Small nucleolar RNA SNORD30